AUACGGAGGGUGCAAGCGUUACUCGGAAUCACUGGGCGUAAAGCGCGCGCAGGCGGCUAUUUAAGUUGGAUGUGAAAGCCUACGGCCCAACCGUAGAACUGCAUCCAAAACUAUUUAGCUAGAGUGUGGGAGAGGAAGAUGGAAUUAGUUGUGUAGGGGUAAAAUCCGUAGAGAUAACUAGGAAUACCAAAAGCGAAGGCAAUCUUCUGGAACACUACUGACGCUGAGGCGCGAAAGCGUGGGGAGCAAACGGGAUUAGAUACCCCAGUAGUCC
rnacentral:rRNA from 1 species